UUAAGGGCUGGUCGAAUGGUUGCGCUCCUUUUGAAAUUGUUGAGCUUGAGUCUUAGGGUCAACAGGCCGGGCCUAUAGUUCUAAUGAUUUUGUAGAUAUAGAAAGAGUCAGUCUCAGCUUUAUAUUAUUUUCUGAAAUAUAUAUAACUUUAGGCUUUGUGAAUUAAGGAGGACUCAUAUGAUUCUCCUUCUUCAACUUCGGUUCUGUCUCCUUUUUUUUAAUAACCCAGUAACUUGCUUGAUCAGGUCUUCCUUUUAUGUGAAUCCGUAAAAUAGGGGGAGACCCUUAUAUAAUAUGAUCGUUAAACACAUAACCCAUGGGUCCCCCGAAUAUCCAUCAUCAGCCAACCCCUUUUCCUGGCUUUUGUUUCACGAGCAGUAAGCUUUGCUCCCUCCACUUCCAUUAAUUCCGGAUUCUUAUAUUUGAUGACUAUCCAAAGUUUCAUGAGUGCUCCUAUUCUGUUAUUUAUGACUUCUCGUUUGACAUUUUAGGUGAGUCCGCUUGGGCCUGUGUCAAGCCUGAAGCCUUUGUUUAUUCAGGUGUCUAUGUUGAUUUGUUGGGAAGUAAAUUGUGGCUUUGAACAACCUUCUUCCAUAUAUGCUACACUGGAAAAAAAGAUUCGUUGUUAGUUCUUGAAAAGCGGAAAGGUAUCCUUUUUAAAGAUAACUCGGGUUUAUUAGGUUGGUAGGACUAGGAUCCGUUGUUUCAUAUGAGACCCCCUUUCAAGCGGGUGAAGCAGCCCUUGCUUUACAAUCUCUUGCAUACCUGGAAGAUUCAAAAUCUUAAGGCCAUUACUUCCACGAUAUAGCCCCCUCCAACUACAAAUGGGACUUAGAUUGAAAGUUUUCACACCAGCCCACCCCGGGUGAAAGCCCUAUUUUCCAUAAGGAGAUCUAAGAAGUUUUUCCAUGCAUCUUUUUGGCUCUUCAUGGAAGAUUGUUGGUAAGCCUACCAUAAGACUGAAAAUAAAGUCCCAGGCGCACCUGAUGAGUUCUAACUAACCACCCCUAUAAACUUGGUUUGCUAGAAUAGACUCUUAGAUGGAAAAAAAUGCCCAUUUCAGUCUAUUGGGACCUAGAGACGAUACAAUCUUGACUUUUUUCCCUAAGCUUGAAUGUGGCAAAAAUCAAGGGACUGCAGGGGGAAGGGAAUCAGGCACCCAUUCUGAGGGAAUAGUUUGUUGCAAGACUAAGGGCUUUGCAAGAAUAAGAAUAAGGGCUUAGAGAUAAGGUUUUAUUAAAAUCCAUAAUGUCCGAGAAAGUGAAUGCGGCAUUAAAAGGCAAUGCCCAAUUGAAUCAAUAGAUGCGAUGCGGGAAGGAAAGGAUCAAUAACAAAAGCAGGAAGAGAUACCAUGGAUGAGAGAUCAUAAACCGAAGACUUGUUCAGAGUAUAUUAAAGGAUUUGCUGCUUUCUUAGUUUUAAAAUGUUAUAUAAAACUAAAAAUCUAUCCCACUUUUUUAACUCUGGUUUGCUCUUCAUCUUGCUUAAGAAAGGAUCUUAAGUCGAUUAGGUUGCCAGUCGGCAGACCCUCUUUCGGUACCAUAGUAGCUGGCUCAUUGGUCCCACUGAUUCUCAAUGCUACUUUCUCUGAAAAGAUGAAAAGAUCCCUAGGGAGUUGAACUGCUACUACCCACCUAGGGGUGGAUUCCUUCCAAUUUGAUUGAAUAAGACCAAACUCUCAAACCAAUACCAAUCUCUGCCAUGUCUUACCAAACUACACGAUCUCAAUCCUCAUCGCUUUCAGUUUUGAUGGCAGACAGUUUAUAUGCAGUCGUUUUGGAGUUCCUUCCUAGUGUAGCAGUAGUUCAUAGUGCCAUUCCUUUGGUCCCAGUAACCAUUACAGGAAGUGUUCGGAGUGCUUAUGACUAUUUCUUUCCCCUUCCAGGUGUUGUAAAACAACAAAGUUCAAGGGGGCCCCAUCUAGAGCAGUUUCUUAUGGGUAGACUGUACCAUUUUCAAGCCUAAUUGGAGUUUAAGUUGCCAACCAACUAGUGGAAGUUCUUCUUUUUGCCAGGCUAGUAGCCUUCUUUGGUAAGCCAGUUGAAGAAAAAACUGUUGCGUUAAGAGUAAGAAUUUGUCG
rnacentral:lncRNA from 1 species